AUUGAACGCUGGCGGCAUGCCUUACACAUGCAAGUCGAACGGUAACGGGUCUUCGGAUGCUGACGAGUGGCGAACGGGUGAGUAAUACAUCGGAACGUGCCCGAUCGUGGGGGAUAACGAGGCGAAAGCUUUGCUAAUACCGCAUAAGAUCUACGGAUGAAAGCAGGGGACCGCAAGGCCUUGCGCGAACGGAGCGGCCGAUGGCAGAUUAGGUAGUUGGUGGGAUAAAAGCUUACCAAGCCGACGAUCUGUAGCUGGUCUGAGAGGACGACCAGCCACACUGGGACUGAGACACGGCCCAGACUCCUACGGGAGGCAGCAGUGGGGAAUUUUGGACAAUGGGCGAAAGCCUGAUCCAGCCAUGCCGCGUGCAGGAUGAAGGCCUUCGGGUUGUAAACUGCUUUUGUACGGAACGAAAAGACUCUGGUUAAUACCUGGGGUCCAUGACGGUACCGUAAGAAUAAGCACCGGCUAACUACGUG
rnacentral:rRNA from 1 species